GACGAACGCUGGCGGCGUGCCUAAUACAUGCAAGUUGAGCGAUGAAGAUUGGUGCUUGCACCAAUUUGAAGAGCAGCGAACGGGUGAGUAACGCGUGGGGAAUCUGCCUUUGAGCGGGGGACAACAUUUGGAAACGAAUGCUAAUACCGCAUAACAACUUUAAACAUAAGUUUUAAGUUUGAAAGAUGCAAUUGCAUCACUCAAAGAUGAUCCCGCGUUGUAUUAGCUAGUUGGUGAGGUAAAGGCUCACCAAGGCGAUGAUACAUAGCCGACCUGAGAGGGUGAUCGGCCACAUUGGGACUGGGACACGGCCCAAACUCCUACGGGAGGCAGCAGUAGGGAAUCUUCGGCAAUGGACGAAAGUCUGACCGAGCAACGACGCGUGAGUGAAGAAGGUUUUCGGAUCGUAAAACUCUGUUGGUAGAGAAGAACGUUGGUGAGAGUGGAAAGCUCAUCAAGUGACGGUAACUACCCAGAAAGGGACGGCUAACUACGUG
rnacentral:rRNA from 1 species